AUAAUGACAGUGAAUGGAAGAGGCUAAAACCUUUCUUUUAAAGAGAGUCUGGCUGGUGGAAACAGACAAAGAAACUUUAGCUACACACCCAGGAGUCAAUAGUUUAAAAGGCUAUUCGCUUAGCGAGCGUUACAUCGCGAUGUUACUAACAUCAUGAGGCAAUUAUUGUGAGAUAGUUGCGAAAAAAGGUGGAACCACGAAAGCGUCCUUUUC
rnacentral:ncRNA from 1 species